AGUCCCGUGGGAUCCUGCGCCACAUCUCGCACAAGUACGCGAAGCAGGGGAACCCGGACCUGAUCGGCACGGGUGCGCUGGAGCGCGCGUCCAUCGAGCAGUGGCUGCAGACGGAGGCGCAGAGCUUCGACGCGCCCAGCGCCGAGAUGGUCUACAGCCUCGCCCUCCUGCCGCCCAACCUGCCCAAGCAGCAGAACGACAACGGCAGCGGCUUCAACAACAGCGGCAGGGAGAGGGACGUGGGGAACGCGUCCGCCGGCAGCAAGCAGCGCUCCCCGGCCGGGUGGCCGGCGGCGAACCAGAACCAGAACCAGCAGCAGGCGAAGCAUCAGAAGGAGGAGGAGAUGGUGAGGCUGUUCGAGCAGCGGAAGAAGGACCUGGAGAAGCUGCUGGACAUCUACGAGCAGCGGCUGGAGGAGGCCAGGUACCUCGCCGGCGACAACUUCACCAUCGCCGACCUGUCGCACCUGCCCAACGCCGACCGCCUCGCCUCCGACCCGCGCUCCCGCCGCCUCUUCGAGACCCGCAAGAACGUCAGCAGGUGGUGGAACGACGUCUCCAGCCGCGACACCUGGCAGUACGUCAAGAGCCUUCAACGCCCGCCGCCCACCGACGCCAACGCCAAUUCCAAGAACGGCCAGCACCAGCAGCAGCAGGGGCAGCACACGCAGUCCACCGACGAGCACAACAGGAAGAACUACCAGCAGCAGCAGCAGCAGGUCCAGCACGAGCGCUACUAGCCGUGCCGUCGUCCGGCAACAACAACAACUACCUGCCGCGAAUGCGACGUCCAUUGAUAUGUUUUCUGCCGUUAAUCGUGUCAUCGU
rnacentral:lncRNA from 1 species